ACGACUGCAGCCACUGCAGCGCGGCAUCAGGUUUCUGCUUUGCACAGGAAGAAUCAGAUGAGUACAGAGGUUGUGUAUUCUCAAACUGACUAAUGCAGAGACACAUAGAGGCUCUUAUUUUCCUCAAAACAGCCUCUGUCACUCCUCCCUAUCAUGGGUCAAAACAUGGUUUAUACUAUUUCUAAUUGAUCAGAAAACUGUCAGAAGAUUUUUUUUUAAUUUGUUUAUUCAUUUAAGCUUAUUUUGGCUUCAUGACUGACUGUGUUUAGCAGCAAUAAAAUGUUGAAAACCCCUUUGAGGGUCCCUGGAGCGAACCCUAGCUGACAUUAGGUGAGAGGGUACACCCCGGACAGGUCAAUCUCAAAAUGUAAAACUGUCAAAAAAAAUGUAUAUUAAUUAUCAAUAGGAUAUCUUCAGUCAUACAUUUUUAGCCAAACAUUGAAUCCAAAAACAGACACAACUCUCCCUGUAGUACUUGAUUUAUUACAAAAUGUUGCUGCACUCGACACAAGAUUUUUUUUUUGUCUCUUUACUAUUCAGAGGUGGGUUUUGGGCAUAACAUGCAAUAAACCAAUCAGAGAGCCAUCUACCAUUACCUUUAAAAGUAUUAGUGUCCUUGCACCAGCAAGGUUAUUAUAAGAGCAAGUCAUCAUAUUUUACACCCUUUUAUUACUCAAUGCUAAUAUGUCUCAUUAUUAUAAAAUCCUAUGUCAUCACUGUGAGAUGUGAAGCCAUUGUCCUGCUUUAACAACAUUGAGCAGGACACAGCAUGCUAACAUUAGAUACAUUGUUGGUUUUUUGUUGUUCAUGUAGGAAUUAAAUAUGCAAUCUGACCCCUACUGGAGAAAUUCAUGUUGACUGGGUUUGACAGAUUAUCACAUGAGAAGGGUGUUUCCUAAAUGUAUAAUUGUUAGUGAAGUGUAGGCACAGGUGAUUUUAGAGACUACAGUCGAGCAAGUAUGGAGAUUAGAGUACAGCUGAAGGCAAAUCACAUUAAGUGAGAGCAGAAGUUUCACAGACAGCGGAGAUUUACAGUUAAAACUAGAAGGGCAUUCGGUGGAGCGCACCUCCGCCAAGGCCCAUCAGUCCCCUUAAAUUCAAUCAAGCUGCUACACUCACUCAUAGAUAUUAGUUCCAUAAAUGUGCCAGAUCUUUUUCCUUCAAGAUUGCUCCCUUGGAAAAUGGUGAAAGUGUUGAAAAACGUAGAAUCUCAAAAUGUUACAGGAAGAUCCAAAUAUAAUGGCUUCUUCUCUGACUCAAACCAAAUUGUUCCACCAAGUUCCAUGCAAAUCUGUUGGGUUGUUCUUGUGUUAUUUUCCUUUCAAACAAACAGACAGGGGUGAAAACACGACCUCUGACCUCGGCAGAGGUAACAAUGGCAGACACAUCGAUGGAUUGCUUUCAAAUGACUUUACUCAUCCCUGAUUGGUUGUCCAAACUUUCUGACUAUGCCAAACACAUCUCUGUUUUUGUGUUGUUUCUGACAUUUUGUCAAGAUAUGUGGCUAUUUCAGUUAUGUCCAUUACAGAUUGACCAAUCGUCAAACCAGGAUACGUCUGAAAAGCCUCAAUCGCAGACUGUUUCUGUUGCUUCUCUCAUCUUCUCUCCCCUUUUCCCCCAAUUUCUCUCUGUCAACCUCUGUCCUAGAGUUGCCCCCUCCCUCGCUCUCUCUGACUCCUGACACCAGACAGAUGUUCAGUGGGGAGUGUUUCACUCUGCAGUGACUCACAUCUCAGACUAACUCCUCAGGGUGGAAGCUGGUGCAUUUCUCUCCUGACCUAAAAGCAGGGACCUCAAACCUCACCGUUCACUAUUCAACGCCAGGAGAUGGCGACAUCAUUCUGAAGACCCAAGCCUCCCCUGUGUUUACGGGUGACGAUGUCACCUUGUGUUGUCAGCAUCAGAGCGGCAAACACAAACAAACCAGCUUCUUUAAAAACGGAGCAUUGAUUAACUCUAACAGUUCGUCCGGUUCAGACCGAGUCAUAAAGAUGACUCUUAAGAAUGUGACACGGGAAGAUGAAGGCUUCUACAGGUGUGCGUCCCACGACAGACAGCUGCAGAGUCCAGAGAGCUGGUUAUCAGUGAGACCGGACAGAGGAAACUUCACAUCAGAGGAGACUCCAGCCUCCACUGGUUCCUGGAAAUGGAUCAUUGCUUCAUGUGGGGUUCUACUUCUGAUCGUCAUUCCUUUGACUGUUUGGCUCGUUUGUCAGUAGAGGUACCAGAAGUUCUGCACUUGGAGCUGCUGGCCAGUUUCCAAACAGGAAGUUACAGCAGGGGUGCUUCCUGCCACCAAGUUGGAUGUGACGGAGGUGCAGUGGGACCUGUCCUGGAUGGAGAUGUCCAACCUGUUGGAAAAGGAAUCUUAUUGUGGCACUUAAAGGGAAACUCUCUUCUGAAGCCCAGAGAAAGUAUUAACUAUUGGGUCAAACCUAUGAGAAAGCUCAGUCAGUGCUGCAAUUUGUAGUAUUUCAUGGUCACAUGUCAAAAUAGUGCUGCCUGAUAUAUUUUUGAAUUGAAUUAAAUGAGAUGUUUAGGAUUUAUAAGGAUGACUACAUUUGCUGAUGGUGCAGAUUUGAUAGCUUCCAAUACAAAUGUUAUUGUUUCAGUUGUCACAUUUGUCAAUGUCAAUACUUUUGCACAUUUAAACGUCUCUCCUUUGAGUACAUUUUGAAACUAAGAAUCGUAUUUGUUAUAUCUUAUUAUCUAAUCAUUAAUAUAAUUGACUGUUCUAAAUCAUUUUACAUGUAUCAUUUCUCCUGUGUUUGUUCGAGGUUCCAUGUUGUUUGCUCCCUUUGAAUCGUUAUUUGCUAUUUCUUGUCGUCUGAAGUUAUAAAAGUCAUGGAGAUCGUC